rnacentral:rRNA from 1 species
AGGAAGUGGGGGAGUGACGUCAAGUACCUCAUGGCCUUAUGACCAGGGCUACACACGUACUACAAUGGCCGGUACAAAGGGCAGCCACUUAGCGAUAAGGAGCCAAUCCCGUAAAGCCGGUCUCAGUCCGGAUUGGAGUCUGCAACUCGACUCCAUGAAGUUGGAAUCGCUAGUAAUCGCAGAUCAGCACGCUGCGGUGAAUACGUUCCCGGGCCUU